rnacentral:rRNA from 1 species
UACGUAGGGUGCGAGCGUUGUCCGGAAUUAUUGGGCGUAAAGAGCUCGUAGGCGGCUUGUCGCGUCGGAUGUGAAAGCCCGGGGCUCAACUCCGGGUCUGCAUUCGAUACGGGCAGGCUAGAGUUCGGUAGGGGAGAUCGGAAUUCCUGGUGUAGCGGUGAAAUGCGCAGAUAUCAGGAGGAACACCGGUGGCGAAGGCGGAUCUCUGGGCCGAUACUGACGCUGAGGAGCGAAAGCGUGGGGAGCGAACAGG